GAUGAACGCUGGCGGCGUGCCUAAUACAUGCAAGUCGAGCGAAUGGAUUAAGAGCUUGCUCUUAUGAAGUUAGCGGCGGACGGGUGAGUAACACGUGGGUAACCUGCCCAUAAGACUGGGAUAACUCCGGGAAACCGGGGCUAAUACCGGAUAACAUUUUGAACCGCAUGGUUCGAAAUUGAAAGGCGGCUUCGGCUUGCACUUAUGGUUGGAACCGGGUCGCAUUAGUUAGUUGGUGAGGUAACGGCUCACCAAGGCAACGAUGCGUAGCCGACCUGAGAGGGUGAUCGGCCACACUGGGACGGAGACACGGCCCAGACUCCUACGGGAGGCAGCAGUAGGGAAUCUUCCGCAAUGGACGAAAGUCUAACGGAGCAACGCCGCGUGAGUGAUGAAGGCUUUCGGGUCGUAAAACUCUGUUGUUAGGGAAGAACAAGUGCUAGUUGAAUAAGCUGGCACCUUGACGGUACCUAACCAGAAAGCCACGGCUAACUACGUGCCAGCAGCCGCCGUAA
rnacentral:rRNA from 1 species